GAAAGGCGGGCUAAACCCGCGUACAUGCCACCGGGGCAUCCCGGAGGCAGGAAAGGCUUCGGCCGGACAGGGAUGGGCAUGCGGCGCAUUAGGCAGUAGGCGGGGUAACGGCCCACCUAACCGACGAUGCGUAGGGGUUCUGAGAGGAAGGUCCCCCACACUGGUACUGAGACACGGACCAGACUCCUACGGGAGGCAGCAGUGAGGGAUAUUGGUCAAUGGUCGGGAGACUGAACCAGCCAAGCCGCGUGAGGGAUGAAGGUACAGAGUAUCGUAAACCUCUUUUGUCAGGGAACAAAGGCGGGGACGUGUCCCCGGAUGAGUGUACCUGAAGAAAAAGCAUCGGCUAACUCCGUGCCAGCAGCCGUGGUAAUACGGAGGAUGCGAGCGUUAUCCGGAUUUAUUGGGUUUAAAGGGUGCGCAGGCGGUCUGUUAAGUCAGCGGUCAAAGCCCGGGGCUCAACCCCGGCCCGCCGUUGAAACUGGCAGUCUCGAGUUGGAGAGAAGUAUGCGGAAUGCGCGGUGUAGCGGUGAAAUGCAUAGAUAUCGCGCAGAACUCCGAUUGCGAAGGCAGCAUGCCGGCUCCACACUGACGCUGAGGCACGAAAGCGUGGGUAUCGAACAGGAUUAGAUACCCUGGUAGUCC
rnacentral:rRNA from 1 species